rnacentral:misc_RNA from 1 species
UCUCGAAGGAAAAAGAAAUCUAGGGAAGUUGUCGUUGAAGCUGACAACUUUUGUAGGAAGAAUGUCAUUAAUGGAGUAGCUACUGCUCCGUCUUGUGGGAGUUCACGUUCACGCUCACCUGGACGAGGUCUUAAAAGGAAAAUAGGCUGUCUUGAUUCAGCUACUCGAUUGGGGCGGAAGAAGAAGAUUGAGCAGGAUUACGAGAUGGGAGAUGUUAUUGGACGAGGGAAAUUUGGGUCUGUUUUAUUAUGUCAGAGAAAGUUGAGUGGAGAAAAACAUGCUUGUAAGACUUUGCUUAAGG